rnacentral:rRNA from 1 species
CCUACGGGGUGCAGCAGUGAGGAAUAUUGGUCAAUGGACGAGAGUCUGAACCAGCCAAGUAGCGUGAAGGAUGACUGCCCUAUGGGUUGUAAACUUCUUUUAUAUGGGAAUAAAAUGUUCCACGUGUGGGAUUUUGUAUGUACCAUAUGAAUAAGGAUCGGCUAACUCCGUGCCAGCAGCCGAGGUAAUACGGAGGAUCCGAGCGUUAUCCGGCUUUAUUGGGUGUAAAGGGAGCGUAGGUGGAUUGUUAAGUCAGUUGUGAAAGUUUGCGGCUCAAACGUAAAAUUGCAGUUGAAACUGGCAGUCUUGAGUACAGUAGAGGUGGGCGGAAUUCGUGGUGUAGCGGUGAAAUGCUUAGAUAUCACGAAGAACUCCGAUUGCGAAGGCAGUUCACUGGACUGCAACUGACACUGAGGCUCGAAAGUGUGGGUAUCAAACAGGAUUAGAUACCCCGGUAGUC